CCCUAUUCAUUCAGACUCUCGACCCUUACCGAAAACUCUCUCUCUCUCUCUCAAAUUCUCUGCAUCUGGAUUUUUUGUUCGUUCGCGGAGCUCAGAAAUUGAUGGCUUCUUCGUCGUUGAGAUCUUCGUUGACGAUAAUGGUAGCGGCCGCUGUGAACAAUGGCAGAGCUGGAAGGUUCGAGAGGCAGCAACUCCAUCCCGCUCGGCAAACGACUUUGUCUGUUCGAUUCAAGCCGGCGUCUUCCUCGACUUUAUGGAUGAAAGAGGAGGCGGCGCCACUGGCGAGCCUGGAGGCUUCGGCCGCGGAAUCAGAGGCUUCAAGGUCUUUGUCGUCGUCGGCGACAGCAAAAGCCAUGUCGGACUCGGCAUCAAGUGCAGCAAGGAGGUUGCUACUGCUAUUCGUGGAGCCAUUAUUGUGGCUAAGCUGUGGGUGAUUCCUGUGAGGAGGGGUUACAAGAUCGGAAAGCCCCACACCAUGCAUUGCAAGGUCACCGGAAAGUGUGGCUCUGUUAUCGUGGGGAUGGUGCUUGCUCCUCGUGGUUCUGGUAUUAUGGUGGCUAGGGUUCCCAAGAAGGUGUUCCAAUUUGCUGGUAUUGAUGAUGUGUUCACUUCAUCCAAGGGGUCUACCAAGACUCUCGAAACUUUGUCAAGGAAUAAUGAUUGAGCUAUUUAAAGUGAAGGAAAAGCAGAGGGAGCUUGCUGAAAAUGCCAAUGGAAAGUCACCGGUUAAGAAGCAAAGUUCUGGAGAAUUACAAAGGCUUUACCCCACUUCCAUAACAAUUGGCUGUGCAGUCCUCGUUUGAAGUUGCUACUUUGAGCUUGUGUCAUUCUUUGUAUUCAACAAUGGCUGGUGAAGUAGUGACCGCAAAUGAAAAUGGCAAUGGCAACAUCCAGCUGAAUCCACAAAGGACUUACCAAGUUGUUGUGGUUGCAACUCGAGAAAUGGGUAUUGGAAAGGAUGGGAAACAGCCUUGGAGACUAGCUUCCUUAUGAUCUCAAGUUCUUUAAGGAUGUCACUGUAACCACAUCAGAUCCCGGAAAAAAAGAAUGCAAUUAUAAUGGGCAUAAAAACAUGGCACAACAUUCCCCCUGAGCAUCGGCCUUUACCUAGACGCCUUAAUGUUGUUCUGACUCAUUCGGGGAGUUUUUUUUUAUUUCUCUUUAAAACAGUAACUUUGUUCGUGUUUAAAUUGUGGUUGUGUUGUUGUGGAAGUUAUUUAUUAUAUUUUAUGAGAGUGAUGUGUGGUGAUUUCUGUUGUGGGGUGAUAUUGUGGUUAUUACUUAUUAGAACUAUUGUCAAUAUAGCGUUUGAGUUCUCAUGCCUUAUUCUUUUUUCGGA